AGUCAAUAGAUACCCAGGUAGUCCACGCCGUAAACGAUGAAUACUAGGUGUAGGAGGUAUCGACUCCUUCUGUGCCGCAGUUAACACAAUAAGUAUUCCGCCUGGGGAGUACGGUCGCAAGAUUAAAACUCAAAGGAAUUGACGGGGGCCCGCACAAGCAGCGGAGCAUGUGGUUUAAUUCGAAGCAAGGCGAAGAACCUUACCCAGACUUGACAUCUCCUGAAUUAAUCGUAAUUGAUGAAAUCCCUUCGGGGACAGGAAGACAGGUGGUGCAUGGUUGUCGUCAGCUCGUGUCGUGAGAUGUUGGGUUAAGUCCCGCAACGAGCGCAACCCUUAUCAUUAGUUGCUAACAUUAAGUUGAGCACUCUAGUGAGACUGCCCGGGUUAACCGGGAGGAAGGUGGGGAUGACGUCAAAUCAUCAUGCCCCUUAUGUCUGGGGCUACACACGUGCUACAAUGGUGGGAACAAAGAGAUGCAAGACCGCGAGGUGGAGCCAAACUCAAAAACCCAUCCCAGUUCGGAUUGUAGGCUGAAACUCGCC
rnacentral:rRNA from 1 species